UACGUAGGGGGCUAGCGUUGUCCGGAAUCAUUGGGCGUAAAGCGCGUGUAGGCGGCCCGGUAAGUCCGCUGUGAAAGUCGGGGGCUCAACCCUCGGAUGCCGGUGGAUACUGUCGGGCUUGAGUACGGAAGAGGCGAGUGGAAUUCCUGGUGUAGCGGUGAAAUGCGCAGAUAUCAGGAGGAACACCAAUUGCGAAGGCAGCACUCUGGGACGUGACUGACGCUGAGACGCGAAAGCGUGGGGAGCAAACAGG
rnacentral:rRNA from 1 species